CCACAUGAACUGCAUCAAAAUCCCAGUCCAUUUGCCCACUGAUCUCUGUAACUAUAUUCAUCAAUCUCUUUGAUUUCCAAAGCACAUGCCAUGGCCUCUGAAUGUGCUUUGCAGCUUGCCCUUCACAAACUCUGUACCAAUAAUUUUCUGGCUCUGGAGCAUCAAACUGCCUCCAAAUAAUUGUGCUCCUAUCUUUACUCAGUUGCAUUGGUGUCACCUUAUGGGUAACAACCUUCCUAACUGGCACCUUCUUAUGGGCUCGAUCCCAUUUCUUCCAAUCUCUCAAAAAUUCACUCUCUUCUACAAUUGAUGCCAACUCCUUAAGAUGCUCAAAAUCAAAAUAAUACCGAAAAUCCUUUCCCUCCUCAUCCUUGCCACUUGGAUUAUAACUACCAGCCAAGCAUAUGCUUAAAUCCAUCACAAAUGUCCUGUUCAAAU
rnacentral:misc_RNA from 1 species